rnacentral:tmRNA from 1 species
ACGAAACGUACGCUUUAGCAGCUUAGUCUGCUAGACCUCACACCUUGCUGUCUGUGGAGGGGCUCAAAGCCGCAAGGCUGAGAUGAGUGAGGUAAAUUACACAGAAUCGUGCCGGUCAGGGUCACUUUGUCCGGAGCUAAAACCAAGGUGACUCGUCCUUUACCAGCCCGCCGGUUGGCGUGUACGGGAUCAAAUUAAACAGCCAGGCUAAGUAUGUAGAACUAUCUGUAGAGGACUUGCGGACGCGGGUUCAAUUCCCGCCGUCUCCACCA